UACGUAGGGGGCAAGCGUUGUCCGGAAUCAUUGGGCGUAAAGAGCGCGUAGGCGGCCCGAUAAGUCCGCUGUGAAAGUCAAGGGCUCAACCCUUGAAUGCCGGUGGAUACUGUCGGGCUAGAGUCCGGAAGAGGCGAGUGGAAUUCCUGGUGUAGCGGUGAAAUGCGCAGAUAUCAGGAGGAACACCGGUGGCGAAGGCGGGUCUCUGGGCCGUAACUGACGCUGAGGAGCGAAAGCAUGGGGAGCGAACAGG
rnacentral:rRNA from 1 species